CACGUAGGGUGCAAGCGUUGUCCGGAAUCAUUGGGCGUAAAGAGCUCGUAGGCGGUUUGUCGCGUCUGCCGUGAAAGUCCGGGGCUCAACUCCGGAUCUGCGGUGGGUACGGGCAGACUAGAGUGAUGUAGGGGAGACUGGAAUUCCUGGUGUAGCGGUGAAAUGCGCAGAUAUCAGGAGGAACACCGAUGGCGAAGGCAGGUCUCUGGGCAUUAACUGACGCUGAGGAGCGAAAGCAUGGGGAGCGAACAGG
rnacentral:rRNA from 1 species